UACAGAGGUCUCAAGCGUUGUUCGGAUUCAUUGGGCGUAAAGGGUGUGUAGGCGGCGCGUAAGUCGGGUGUGAAAUCUCGGAGCUUAACUCCGAAACUGCAUUCGAUACUGCCGUGCUUGAGGACUGGAGAGGAGACUGGAAUUUACGGUGUAGCGGUGAAAUGCGUAGAUAUCGUAAGGAACACCAGUGGCGAAGGCGGCUCACUGGCCCGAUACUGACGCUGAGGCACGAAAGCGUGGGGAGCAAACAGG
rnacentral:rRNA from 1 species